rnacentral:rRNA from 1 species
GACGAACGCUGGCUGCGUGCUUAACACAUGCAAGUCGAACGCUGAAGCCCGAAGCUUGCUUCGGGUGGAUGAGUGGCGAACGGGUGAGUAACACGUGAGUAACCUGCCCCUGAUUUCAGGAUAAGCCUGGGAAACUGGGUCUAAUACCGGAUACGACCACCUGACGCAUGUCGGGGGGUGGAAAGUUUUUCGAUUGGGGAUGGGCUCGCGGCCUAUCAGCUUGUUGGUGGGGUAAUGGCCUACCAAGGCGACGACGGGUAGCCGGCCUGAGAGGGCGACCGGCAACACUGGGACUGAGACACGGCCCAGACUCCUACGGGAGGCAGCAGUGGGGAAUAUUGCACAAUGGGGGAAACCCUGAUGCAGCGACGCAGCGUGCGGGAUGACGGCCUUCGGGUUGUAAACCGCAUUCAGCAGGGAAGAGGCGAAAGUGACGGUACCUGCAGAAGAAGUACCGGCUAACUACGUGCCAGCCGCCGCCGUAA